AUUGAACGCUGGCGGCAUGCUUUACACAUGCAAGUCGAACGGUAACAGGCCGCAAGGUGCUGACGAGUGGCGAACGGGUGAGUAAUGCAUCGGAACGUGCCCAGUCGUGGGGGAUAACUAUCCGAAAGGAUAGCUAAUACCGCAUACGAUCUGCGGAUGAAAGCGGGGGACCUUCGGGCCUCGCGCGAUUGGAGCGGCCGAUGUCAGAUUAGGUAGUUGGUUGGGUAAAGGCUCACCAAGCCAACGAUCUGUAGCUGGUCUGAGAGGACGACCAGCCACACUGGGACUGAGACACGGCGCAGACUCCUACGGGAGGCAGCAGUGGGGAAUUUUGGACAAUGGGCGCAAGCCUGAUCCAGCAAUGCCGCGUGCAGGAAGAAGGCCUUCGGGUUGUAAACUGCUUUUGUACGGAACGAAACGGCUCUGGUUAAUACCUGGGGUCAUGACGGUACCGUAAGAAUAAGCACCGGCUAACUACGUGCCAGCCGCCGCCGUAA
rnacentral:rRNA from 1 species